rnacentral:lncRNA from 10 species
AUCAUGACGACUCCGGUUACGUAAAAACAUUCAAACAGAAAAUGCUGGCCAGGCUCAUGCCUGUAAUCCCAGCACUUUGGGAGGCCGAGGCGGGAGGAUCGCUUGUGCCCAGGAGUUGGAGACCAGCCUGGGCAACAUAGUGAGACCCUCCCCCCACCCAUCUCUACAAAAAAUUUUAAAAUUAGCUAGCUGAGAUCAUGCCACUGCACUCCAGCCUGGACAACAAAGCGCUAUGGAGUCUAAUCCAGGCACUUUGGAAGGCUGAGGCUGGAGGAUCGAUUGAGGCCAGGAGUUUGGGACCACCCUGGGCAACAUAGCAAGAUCUCAUUUCUGAAAAAAGAAUUAUCAUCCACUCACCCAGAACAGCUCUCCAAACUUAACAGCCGUGGCAGUCAGAGCUCUGCCUGCAGUGUGACCAUGGACAGCUCUCCAAAGCUUAAACUUCAGUAAAUUGACUCAAGUUUCUUCGGAAAGAACUGUUACAUAAAGAAAGGAUGAUAUCUCUAAAGGUAUGUGGAUUCAUCCAAAUUUGG